CAAAAGCAGUCAACACUUACUUUUCUCAAAGCAAAUUCAUUCUAACGGGUUCUUUUAUCUCACACUCAACAUUCUCUCUCUCUUUACCAACAAUUAAACUAGCAAGGAUCAAGAUAAUUCUUUUGAACUUGUGAUUCACUUUUCUCUCUUAAAUCAAGUUAAAGGUAUGCUCUUUCUUGGUUUCAUUUUUGAGCUCUCUUAAGAAUGGACAUAAUACCUUAUACCUCAUGAUGAUUGGUCAUUGAAAUUUGAUUUAUGUGAGUUUGUUGGGAUGAUUUUUUACUUGUUGGAAUAAUUAUGUUGUCAUUGGUGCCUUGUUUCACUAGUUUAAUUCAUGAUACUCUCUUAAAUGAAGCUAGUGCACCAUGCGUUUGACAAAAUAUCCAUUGAAUCUUUCUUUCUUAUUUUGUGUGGUGGGUGGCUCAAGUAUGAUAAUAUGAGCAUCUUUAAUGCGUUUGGAGAUGAUUUGGUGAUAUGACCUUGUUCUCUUGUGCUUCUAUUGUCUUUCUCCAAGUUUCUAGUUAGCAUGCCCACCAUAUGUUUGUUGAAAUGACAAUAAGAGAGAAAUGUCUUGUAUGCUUGUAAUGGUCAAUAUGAUUCUGCUUAGGUAAUAAUGUGAUCAUUUUUUAAGCAUCAUUUUGAGUCCAAUUCAUCCUAAAAUGAAAUAUUCGAUAGUCAUUGGUUGAAGGAGUUUGUUGAGAAAUAUGGCAUCCAUGGUUCUUGUUGAUCACUACACCUAACCGGGAGACAUGCAUGCUUGCCUUACCCAAUGAUAGAUUAAGGGUAUUGGUCAUUCUUAUUUUCAUUGGAGGUUUUCGAUAUCCUAUGAACUAGUUUUGUGAAAUGUGAAGAAUAUGAGAUAAUUUAGCGCCCAAAUGAUUAAGUGCUGUAAUGAAUACAUCCCAUGGGCUCUAAUGAUGAAAUUACCUUGCAUCCAUCAAACAAAUAUUUUCUUUUCUUAUCUUUAAUUUUCUUUCUUAACAUACAAAAUUUCAGAAACAUGUUUUACCUUUUCUCUUUUGUUUUGAUUUUAUUUUGUUUCUUUCAGAUAGGUAUGUCUCCAAGGAAGAACUUGCCACGAGAAGCUAGACAGGGUAAUCACUACAAAAAAUGGGUCAAAUUACGAGGGUUAAUUUUAAAACCCUCGCAAAAUGUAAUUCCGACAGUUCCCAAAACUCCCACAAUUCAAGCCGUCACAAACAAGUUGUGGCGGUUUUUUUCGACCCCCAUAAUUAAUUUGCGGCAGUUAUUUUGUAGCAGUUGACCCCCGUUACUCUAAAUUUAAUUAUUUUUAUUUAAAAGUUGUGGUGGUUUAAAAC
rnacentral:lncRNA from 1 species